rnacentral:rRNA from 1 species
UGGUGGAUUGAUUUGUCUGGUUUAUUCCGUUAACGAACGAGAUCUCCGCGUGGAAAUUGGCUGUUUUAGUCUUUCUGAAGCGCAAAACCCCGGACAACGUGUGGCAAGCGCGAGGAACUUGGAGGCAAUAACA